UGCAUCUUUCCUGCAAGUAUUUUAGCAUAUUGUUGACAUGCAGGGAUGCUUUUCAGGCUUUUAACGAGUGCAAGCUUGGCAUCUUCAACAGCGCCGAUGUUUAAAAUGGAAUGAAAAUGGAAUUCAUUUGUUGUCACCGAAAAUCUGAACAACGUUGAGUUUGGCGCCUUCUUGACCUGUUAUGUAUACAAAAAUGAAUAACGAUGAAAGAACUGGAUAUAAGGGCUACCUUCGAAAUAGUGCAUUAAAAAUCCUAGAAUCUACAUUACGUUACAAGGAAAAUGCAAGCGAACCUUAAAAUGAAGAGGAGGCCUACAUCUAAGAAUUAUCUUCCUUCAACAAUCACAGAAGAUCGGCUUCAAAUUUUGGCACUGCUAUGCAUAGAAGCGGACACACUUCUUUUCAUGGAUUUCGAAGUUUUGACAACAAAUUUUGCUCAUCAAAAAACAAGAUGAAAGUGCUGUUGAAAACUCACAUUUUAUGAUAUUUUGUCAGUACCCUUCUUCAAUUUAUUGCAUUUGCUUACAAUUCUAAGAAUAUAUUAUGAGCUUGAAUGAUUAUGAAUAAAAAAGAUAUUGGUUAUGAGUAAGCUAU